GUGAGGAAGCACCCUCCACCUGACUCCUUGUCAAGGCCUCUCCCGGAAAGGGGCCCGUCUGCCGCUGCCUUGCUCCGAGAGCUGACGAGUCUCCAGCAGCCCCCUCACCGGGCUCCCACUGCUGGAGAGCCCCCUCCCCCGAGGCUGGGGCCCGCCCUGCAGCAGGCAGGAGGGAGCCGGCCUCUCUCUGCCCCCGGCAGCAGGAGAGGAACCUGGGAGCCCUUUGGCAGGACCUCGAGGGGGAAGGGACGAGACUGGUAGGACGGGCCAGCAGAAGACUCGUUGGUCUGGAAAUGAGAACACCUGAGUCUGUGCGAUGCUGAAUCUUCCAGUAACUUGCUAGUUUUUAACAUAUCGAAGCAACCAUGGAUACGUCAUGAAGCAGAAGGAGGACGUGGUGUCCAGACGGAAGCUAAAACCUGAGGCUGAAGACCCUUCAAGACAAUGGACAUCUGGCCUGGGUUCUCCAAAGGAUCUAGGACCAUGAGGAACAAAGUAGGGGAGACAUCACAGCCCGAUGCCAUACACCAUGUUUGAUUGGAUCCUGGACUGG